UUUACCCGCUGAAACUUAAGCAUAUCAAUAAGCGGAGGAAAAGAAACCAACAGGGAUUGCCCUAGUAACGGCGAGUGAAGCGGCAACAGCUCAAAUUUGAAAUCUGGCUCUUUCAGAGUCCGAGUUGUAAUUUGCAGAGGGCGCUUUGGCUUUGGCAGCGGUCCAAGUUCCUUGGAACAGGACGUCACAGAGGGUGAGAAUCCCGUACGUGGUCGCUAGCUAUUGCCGUGUAAAGCCCCUUCGACGAGUCGAGUUGUUUGGGAAUGCAGCUCUAAAUGGGAGGUAAAUUUCUUCUAAAGCUAAAUAUUGGCCAGAGACCGAUAGCGCACAAGUAGAGUGAUCGAAAGAUGAAAAGCACUUUGGAAAGAGAGUCAAACAGCACGUGAAAUUGUUGAAAGGGAAGCGCUUGCAGCCAGACUUGCUUGCAGUUGCUCAUCCGGGCUUUUGCCCGGUGCACUCUUCUGUAGGCAGGCCAGCAUCAGUUUGGGCGGUGGGAUAAAGGUCUCUGUCACGUACCUCUCUUCGGGGAGGCCUUAUAGGGGAGACGACAUACCACCAGCCUAGACUGAGGUCCGCGCAUCUGCUAGGAUGCUGGCGUAAUGGCUGUAAGCGGCCCGUCUUGAAACACGGACCAAGGAGUCUAACAUCUAUGCGAGUGUUUGGGUGUCAAGCCCGAGCGCGUAAUGAAAGUGAACGGAGGUGGGAACCCGCAAGGGUGCACCAUCGACCGAUCCUGAAGUUUACGGAAGGAUUUGAGUAAGAGCAUGGCUGUUGGGACCCGAAAGAUGGUGAACUAUGCUUGAAUAGGGUGAAGCCAGAGGAAACUCUGGUGGAGGCUCGCAGCGGUUCUGACGUGCAAAUCGAUCGUCAAAUUUGGGCAUAGGGGCGAAAGACUAAUCGAACUAUCUAGUAGCUGGUUCCUGCCGAGUUUCCC
rnacentral:rRNA from 1 species